AACGCGAAGAACCUUACCAAAUCUUGACAUCCCGAUGACAGACUGUGUAAAGCAGUUUCUCUUCGGAGCAUCGGUGACAGGUGGUGCAUGGUUGUCGUCAGCUCGUGUCGUGAGAUGUUGGGUUAAGUCCCGCAACGAGCGCAACCCUCGUCUUUAGUAGCCAGCAUUUAGGAUGGGCACUCUAGAGAGACUGCCAGGGAUAACCUGGAGGAAGGUGGGGACGACGUCAAAUCAUCAUGCCCCUUAUGAUUUGGGCUACACACGUGCUACAAUGGCGUAAACAAAGAGAAGCAAAGGAGUGAUUCGGAGCAAAUCUCAAAAAUAACGUCUCAGUUCGGAUUGUAGUCUGCAACUCGACUACAUGAAGCUGGAAUCGCUAGUAAUCGCGAAUCAGAAUGUCGCGGUGAAUACGUUCCCGGGUCUUGUACACACGC
rnacentral:rRNA from 1 species